rnacentral:lncRNA from 1 species
UCAACAGCUGAAUUUGUUUCUUUUGGGGAAUUACAGCGCGAAUCUAAGCUCAAACGCAAGUCUGAUCGCAACUUUCUAUACCUGCCAACCAGAAAACACGGUUAGGAUACGCCGGUGGGGUUCCGGCGUAGACCCUCUGAUGCUUAAGUUAGAAAUUAUGUAUAAAGGGAGAAAAAUGAGAAUGAAGAAUUAUGAAUGAGUUAAAGUCAAGUAAUUUUCCAGUAAAGGGGUUGAAAAUCUUGUAGAAGCUUUGGUUGAUUUUUCUAACCCCCUGGCCUGAUGCGCUCUUCAGUUUAAAUAGGCUCUUGGUCGUGGACGGUUACCUCCUUAACUUCAACCUGCUUUCUUUAUCAGUUGCAAGUGGUUGUCAGUUGGAGGUGGUUUAAAUAGAUCGUGGCACACAUCUUUCUUAUAAAUUAGGCCACAUUCUCUUAACUAGUAAUUUUCCAUGUCAAGCUAAUUCUCAGGUCGGACAAGAGAAUUUCGAGGUCGGAUUACUUCACUUUCAGAAUAGACAGAUGAAUUUCUCAGUCGCUCAUAUAGCCUUGAGGUUGUAUUCUUAAACUAGGUCUUUCACAUAGAUCUCAUAUUGUACUUGUAAACCAGGUCGCCAACAUAGGCUCCAGGUUGUACUUAUGAGGUCAACUCAACAGCAAUAAGUUCUGAGUAGAUUAGGAUCGACUAUAUUUCGAGCCACUACCAGAAAAAUCCAACCCAAACACCAGUCCCCUAGUUUUCAAUAUCGGAAAGUCAUUGCCGGUGUUGGAAACUAAUUAUUUAAAAAUAGAAAAAUUUUCUCAAAACCCAACACCAGUCCCCUAGUUUUCAAUACUGAGAAGAUAUGAACGGUAUUGGAAACUAAAACAAUUAAGAAAUAGCAAUAUGGCCGCAAGCAAAAGAAAAACGGUGUAGAGCGGAACGAUGAACAAAGAGAAGGGUAAGAAGAAACCUUCAGGUUGAAGGUGAGGUCUCCCUAACUAGUAGGGUUGUUGAAGAACAAGAGAGAACUUCCUAAAUUUAAUUAUUACAAUGAUUGCCCCUUUUUGCAAUAUGAACUUGUAUAGACCAUAUGCUACUGAACUUUAUUUUGCUUUUAUAGUCGGAUAAUUAUUAUGCUAACCUUGCAUUUUUUACUCUUUAUUUACUGGGGCUGGUUAUGACUUGCAUUUCGUAAACUGGGCCCAUCUAAGACUCUGUUGAGGUCAAACAAAUAGAUAUGGUCAACUUUGGUAGCAAUAAGACCGAGCAAUGACCUUGAAUUCAUCAAGAUUAUAUCAUUUCGAUGUCAAUCUCGAUAAGGAAAAUGUUGAUCUCACGAAAAUGUCAACCUCAACAAGAUAGAUUGUUGACCUUAACAAGGUUAAGUGUAGAACUAAAAUGCCGACCUCACAACAAGGAAAAUGUUGACCUCACAAAAAUGUCAAUCUUAACAAGAUAGACCUGUGACCUCAACAAGGUUAAGUAUAGAGCUAAAACACCGAACUCACGACAAGGAAAAUGUUGACCUCAUGAAAAUAUCAACCUUAAUAAGAUAGACUAUCGACCUCAACAAGGUUAAGUGUAGAGCUAAAACGCCGACCUCACGAUAAGGAAAAUGUUGACCUCAUGUAAAUGUCAACCUUAACAAGAUAGACUGUCAACCUCAACAAGGUUAAGUGUAAAGCUAAAACGCCGACCUUAUGAUCUCACGACAAGAAACAUGCUAACCUCACGAAAAUGUCAACCUCAACAAGAUAGAGUGUGGAACGCAAUAAGGUUAAAAUGUAAAGCUAAAAUGCCGACCUAAAAAAAAAUUGAAAAUUGGAGAACUUAAAUGUUAAGCAUAUGGCCGACCUCAACAAGGCAAUAGCCGACCUAAACAAAAUUGAAAAUUGGAGAACUUAAAUAUUCAGCUUAUGACCGACCUCAACAAGACAAUGGCCGACUUCAAGAAAAUUGAAAAUUGGACAACUUAAAUGUUAAGCUUAUGGCCGAUCUCAACAAGGGAAUGACCGACCUCAAUAAAAUAAAAAAAUUGGACAACUUAAUUGUUAAGCUAAUGACUGACCUCAACAAAAUUGAAAAUUGUAGAACUUAAAUGUUAAGCCUAUAGCCGACCUCAACAAGGUAAUGACCGACCUCAAUAAUGUUAUGGCCGACCUUAACAAAAUUGAAAAUUGUAGAACUUAAAUGUUAAGCCUAUAGCCGACCUCAACAAGGUAAUGACCGACCUCAAUAAUGUUAUGGCCGACCUUAACAAAAUUGAAAAUUGUAGAACUUAAAUGUUAAGCCUAUAGCCGACCUCAACAAGGUAAUGACCGACCUCAAUAAUGUUAUGGCCGACCUUAACAAAAUUGAAAAUUGUAGAACUUAAAUGUUAAGCCUAUAGCCGACCUCAACAAGGUAAUGACCGACCUCAAUAAUGUUAUGGCCGACCUUAACAAAAUUGAAAAUUGUAGAACUUAAAUGUUAAGCCUAUAGCCGACCUCAACAAGGUAAUGACCGACCUCAAUAAUGUUAUGGCCGACCUUAACAAAAUUGAAAAUUGUAGAACUUAAAUGUUAAGCGUAUGGCUGACCUCAACAAGGAAAUGGUCGACCUCAACAAAAUUAAAAAUUGUAGAACUUAAAUGUUUAGCUUAUGGCCGACCUCAACAAAAUUGAAAAUUGGAGAACUGAAAUGUUAAGCUUAUGGCUGAAAUUGACAAGGCAAUGGCCGACCUCAACAAAAUUGAAAAUUGUAGAACUUAAAUGUUAAGCCUAUAGCCGACCUCAACAAGGUAAUGACCGACCUCAAUAAUGUUAUGGCCGACCUUAACAAAAUUGAAAAUUGUAGAACUUAAAUGUUAAGCCUAUAGCCGACCUCAACAAGGUAAUGACCGACCUCAAUAAUGUUAUGGCCGACCUUAACAAAAUUGAAAAUUGUAGAACUUAAAUGUUAAGCCUAUAGCCGACCUCAACAAGGUAAUGACCGACCUCAAUAAUGUUAUGGCCGACCUUAACAAAAUUGAAAAUUGUAGAACUUAAAUGUUAAGCCUAUAGCCGACCUCAACAAGGUAAUGACCGACCUCAAUAAUGUUAUGGCCGACCUUAACAAAAUUGAAAAUUGUAGAACUUAAAUGUUAAGCCUAUAGCCGACCUCAACAAGGUAAUGACCGACCUCAAUAAUGUUAUGGCCGACCUUAACAAAAUUGAAAAUUGUAGAACUUAAAUGUUAAGCGUAUGGCUGACCUCAACAAGGAAAUGGUCGACCUCAACAAAAUUAAAAAUUGUAGAACUUAAAUGUUUAGCUUAUGGCCGACCUCAACAAAAUUGAAAAUUGGAGAACUGAAAUGUUAAGCUUAUGGCUGAAAUUGACAAGGCAAUGGCCGACCUCAACAAAAUUGAAAAUUGUAGAACUUAAAUGUUAAGCCUAUAGCCGACCUCAACAAGGUAAUGACCGACCUCAAUAAUGUUAUGGCCGACCUUUUAAAUAGGCUCUUGGUCGUGGACGGUUACCUCCUUAACUUCAACCUGCUUUCUUUAUCAGUUGCAAGUGGUUGUCAGUUGGAGGUGGUUUAAAUAGAUCGUGGCACACAUCUUUCUUAUAAAUUAGGCCACAUUCUCUUAACUAGUAAUUUUCCAUGUCAAGCUAAUUCUCAGGUCGGACAAGAGAAUUUCGAGGUCGGAUUACUUCACUUUCAGAAUAGACAGAUGAAUUUCUCAGUCGCUCAUAUAGCCUUGAGGUUGUAUUCUUAAACUAGGUCUUUCACAUAGAUCUCAUAUUGUACUUGUAAACCAGGUCGCCAACAUAGGCUCCAGGUUGUACUUAUGAGGUCAACUCAACAGCAAUAAGUUCUGAGUAGAUUAGGAUCGACUAUAUUUCGAGCCACUACCAGAAAAAUCCAACCCAAACACCAGUCCCCUAGUUUUCAAUAUCGGAAAGUCAUUGCCGGUGUUGGAAACUAAUUAUUUAAAAAUAGAAAAAUUUUCUCAAAACCCAACACCAGUCCCCUAGUUUUCAAUACUGAGAAGAUAUGAACGGUAUUGGAAACUAAAACAAUUAAGAAAUAGCAAUAUGGCCGCAAGCAAAAGAAAAACGGUGUAGAGCGGAACGAUGAACAAAGAGAAGGGUAAGAAGAAACCUUCAGGUUGAAGGUGAGGUCUCCCUAACUAGUAGGGUUGUUGAAGAACAAGAGAGAACUUCCUAAAUUUAAUUAUUACAAUGAUUGCCCCUUUUUGCAAUAUGAACUUGUAUAGACCAUAUGCUACUGAACUUUAUUUUGCUUUUAUAGUCGGAUAAUUAUUAUGCUAACCUUGCAUUUUUUACUCUUUAUUUACUGGGGCUGGUUAUGACUUGCAUUUCGUAAACUGGGCCCAUCUAAGACUCUGUUGAGGUCAAACAAAUAGAUAUGGUCAACUUUGGUAGCAAUAAGACCGAGCAAUGACCUUGAAUUCAUCAAGAUUAUAUCAUUUCGAUGUCAAUCUCGAUAAGGAAAAUGUUGAUCUCACGAAAAUGUCAACCUCAACAAGAUAGAUUGUUGACCUUAACAAGGUUAAGUGUAGAACUAAAAUGCCGACCUCACAACAAGGAAAAUGUUGACCUCACAAAAAUGUCAAUCUUAACAAGAUAGACCUGUGACCUCAACAAGGUUAAGUAUAGAGCUAAAACACCGAACUCACGACAAGGAAAAUGUUGACCUCAUGAAAAUAUCAACCUUAAUAAGAUAGACUAGAAAAUUGGAGAACUGAAAUGUUAAGCUUAUGGCUGAAAUUGACAAGGCAAUGGCCGACCUCAACAAAAUUGAAAAUUGUAGAACUUAAAUGUUAAGCCUAUAGCCGACCUCAACAAGGUAAUGACCGACCUCAAUAAUGUUAUGGCCGACCUUAACAAAAUUGAAAAUUGUAGAACUUAAAUGUUAAGCCUAUAGCCGACCUCAACAAGGUAAUGACCGACCUCAAUAAUGUUAUGGCCGACCUUAACAAAAUUGAAAAUUGUAGAACUUAAAUGUUAAGCCUAUAGCCGACCUCAACAAGGUAAUGACCGACCUCAAUAAUGUUAUGGCCGACCUUAACAAAAUUGAAAAUUGUAGAACUUAAAUGUUAAGCCUAUAGCCGACCUCAACAAGGUAAUGACCGACCUCAAUAAUGUUAUGGCCGACCUUAACAAAAUUGAAAAUUGUAGAACUUAAAUGUUAAGCGUAUGGCUGACCUCAACAAGGAAAUGGUCGACCUCAACAAAAUUAAAAAUUGUAGAACUUAAAUGUUUAGCUUAUGGCCGACCUCAACAAAAUUGAAAAUUGGAGAACUGAAAUGUUAAGCUUAUGGCUGAAAUUGACAAGGCAAUGGCCGACCUCAACAAAAUUGAAAAUUGUAGAACUUAAAUGUUAAGCCUAUAGCCGACCUCAACAAGGUAAUGACCGACCUCAAUAAUGUUAUGGCCGACCUUAACAAAAUUGAAAAUUGUAGAACUUAAAUGUUAAGCGUAUGGCUGACCUCAACAAGGAAAUGGUCGACCUCAACAAAAUUAAAAAUUGUAGAACUUAAAUGUUUAGCUUAUGGCCGACCUCAACAAAAUUGAAAAUUGGAGAACUGAAAUGUUAAGCUUAUGGCUGAAAUUGACAAGGCAAUGGCCGACCUCAACAAAAUUGAAAAUUGUAGAACUUAAAUGUUAAGCUUAUGGUCGACCUCAACAAGGCAAUGGCCGACCUUAACAAUUUUGAAAAUUGUAGAACUUAAAUGUUAAAGCAAUGGCCGACCAAAAUCUUAACAAGGUCGAUUUACAAUUCAUUACCAUUGGACCUCAGCAAGGUCAAAAUGCCAAUCUUAAUCUAAAAAAGAUUGGAUAAAUUUUUUCACGUUGCAUCUCAAUAAGGUCCAAAAAAUGUCGAUCUCAAUCUGAAUAAGAUUGGAUAAAAUUUUUUUCACGUUGGAUCUCAAUAAGGUCCCAAAAAUGCCGAUCUCAAUCUCAAUAAAAUUGGAUAAAUUUUUUCACGUUGGACCUCAAUAAAGCCCAAAUGUCGAUCUCAAUCUCAAUAAGAUUGGAUAGAUUUUUUUAUGUUGGACCUCAAUAAGGUCAAGAGUCUAUCUCAAUCUCAAAAAGAUUGGAUGAAUUUUUCACGUUGGACCUCAAUAAGGCCAAAAGCCAAUCUCAAUCUCAACAAGAUUAGAUAAAUUUUCACGUUAGACCUCAACAAGGCCAAGAGCCGAUCUCAAUCUCAACAAGAUUGGACAAAUUUUCACGUUAGACCUCAACAAGGCCAAGAGUCGAUCUCAAUCUCAACACGAUUGGACAAAUUUUCAAGUUAGACCUCAACACAGCCAAGAGCCGAUCUCAAUCUCAACAAGAUUGGAUGAUUUUUUUCACGUUGACUCAACAAGGCCAAGAGCCGAUCUCAAUCUCAACAAGAUUGGACAAAUUUUCACGUUAGACCUCAACAAGGCCAAGAGCCGAUCUCAAUCUCAACAAGAUUGGACAAAUUUUCACGUUAGACCUCAACAAGGCCAAGAGCCGAUCUCAAUCUCAACAAGAUUGUACAAAUUUUCAUGUUAGACCUUAACAAAGCCAAGAGCCGAUCACAAUCUCAACAAGAUUGGACGAAUUUUUUCACGUUGACCUCAAUAAGGCCCAAAUGUCGAUCUCAAUCUCAAUAAGAUUGGAUAAAUUUUUUCACGUUGGACCUCAAUAAGGUCCAAAAAUGCCAAUCUCAAUCUCAAUAAGAUUGGGUGAAUUUUUCAUGUUGGACCUCAACAAGGCCAAAAGUCGAUCUCAAUCUCAAUCUAAAAAAGAUUAGAUGACUUUUUCAUGUUGGACCUCAAUAAGGCCAAAAGCCAAUCUCAAUCUCAAUAAGAUUGGAUAAAUUUUUUCACGUUGGACCUUAAUAAGGUCCAAAAGCCAAUUUCAAUCUCAACAAGAUUAGACAAAUUUUCACGUUAGACCUCAACAAAGCCAAGAGCCGAUCUCAAUCUUAAAAAGAUUGGAUGAAUUUUUCACGAUGGACCGCAAUAAGGCCAAAAUGACAACCUCGAUCUCUAAAAGACCGGAUUGUCAUUCAUGUAAGACCUCAAGAAGGCCCAAAUAUUGAUCUCGAUCUCAAAUAAGAGCGGUCACAUGUAAAUGAAAAAUAGAUAUGCACUUCUGAAUAACCUCAUUGAUAUUAAGAUAACAUAAAUUACAGAAUUGAACACAAAUAAAUUGAAAUAGAAAAGAAACAAACUUUCCUAGCAUAUUUAAAGAAAACAAACAUUAGUAAGAUUGGCCUACUGAUAGUAUUUUCGCAGGUGCUUUGCCCUCUGUUUUCGCCUCUAAUACCUCUAAAGUUUUUUGAAAUUGCAGCAUUCGCUGCUCAAGCUCAUUUGCCCGUUCGGGUCUCUCAGCUCUUCCAUUUCCCUUUCUUGAUUCAGGUCAUUGAUUCAGGUCUUCCAUUCGCUGCUCAAGUUCAUUUGCCCGUUCGGGUCUCUCAGCUCUUCCAUUUCUCUUUCUUGAUUCAGGUCAUUGAUUCUCCCCCUCAACUCAUUCAUUUGUUCUCCUGCACUUCUAUUCUCGUGUCGUACCCCAACUUGUGGUAGUCAUAUUCCGCUUUGCUAUUCACCACCAAGCUCUUCCCUUUCCCGCACUCCACUAGUCUCUGGAUCAUUAGUUCGAACUUGAGCUCCUCUGACUUGGGCAUCAACCAGCCCCCAUAUCAUCUCCUCAAAUCUUGUCAUUUACCUCUCGAUCCAUUCUCUCCAUCUCUUAUCUGUCGUGGCAUUCAUUUCUUCUGCCAAUUGGCGCAAGGUCUGCCUAUCUCCGUCAUUAUCAUCCAUCGUCGUUUCUUAAUACGAUAGCCUCCUCCUUCUAAAUCUUCAAACGUAUGGCUUUUCGAACCGUUCCCCACAGACGGCACCAAGAAGUUGAUGCCGAAAAACGACCUCAACAGCUGAAUUUGUUUCUUUUGGGGAAUUACAGCGCGAAUCUAAGCUCAAACGCAAGUCUGAUCGCAACUUUCUAUACAUGCCAACCAGAAAACACGGUUAGGAUACGCCGGUGGGGUUCCGGCGUAGACCCUCUGAUGCUUAAGUUAGAAAUUAUGUAUAAAGGGAGAAAAAUGAGAAUGAAGAAUUAUGAAUGAGUUAAAGUGAAGUAAUUUUCCGGUAAAGGGGCUGAAAAUCUUGUAGAAGCUUUGGUUGAUUUUUUUAACCCCCUGGCCUGAUGCGCUCUUCAAUUUAAAUAGGCUCUUGGUCGUGGACGGUUACCUCCUUAACUUCAACCCGCUUUCUUUAUCAGUUGCAAGUGGUUGUCAGUUGGAGGUGGUUUAAAUAGAUCGUGGCACACAAAUUUCCUAUAAAUUAGGCCACAUUCUCUUAACUAGUAAUUUUCCAUGUCAAGCUAAUUCUCAGGUCGGACAAGAGAAUUUUGAGGUCGGAUUACUUCACUUUCAGACUAGACAGAUGAAUUUCUCAGUCGCUCAUAUAGCCUUGAGGUUGUAUUCUUAAACUAGGUCUUUCACAUAGAUCUCAUAUUGUACUUGUAAACCAGGUCGCCAACAUAGGCUCCAGGUUGUACUUAUAAGGUCAACUCAACAACAAUAAGUUCUGAGUAGAUUAGGAUCGACUAUAUUUCAAGCCACUACCAGAAAAAUCCAACCCAAAC